AACGAACGCUGGCGGCAGGCUUAACACAUGCAAGUCGAGCGCCCCGCAAGGGGAGCGGCAGACGGGUGAGUAACGCGUGGGAAUCUACCCAUCUCUACGGAAUAACGCAUGGAAACGUGUGCUAAUACCGUAUACGUCCUUCGGGAGAAAGAUUUAUCGGAGAUGGAUGAGCCCGCGUUGGAUUAGCUAGUUGGUGGGGUAAAGGCCUACCAAGGCGACGAUCCAUAGCUGGUCUGAGAGGAUGAUCAGCCACACUGGGACUGAGACACGGCCCAGACUCCUACGGGAGGCAGCAGUGGGGAAUAUUGGACAAUGGGCGCAAGCUUGAUCCAGCCAUGCCGCGUGAGUGAUGAAGGCCCUAGGGUUGUAAAGCUCUUUCACCGGUGAAGAUAAUGACGGUAACCGGAGAAGGAGCCCCGGCUAACUUCGUGCCAGCAGCCGCCAUAACAC
rnacentral:rRNA from 1 species